CCUACGGGAGGCUGCAGUAAGGAAUAUUGGUCAAUGGAGGAAACUCUGAACCAGCCAUCCCGCGUGAAGGAUGAAGGGGCUCUGCCUUGUAAACUUCUUUUGUCUGGGGCGAAAAAGCUCGAUUUAUCGAGAACUGACGGUACCAGAAGAAUAAGCACCGGCUAACUCAGUGCCAGCAGCCGCGGUAAUACGGAGGGUGCAAGCGUAAUGCGGAAUCAGGGGGCGUAGAGGGCUUGGUGGCGGAGUGGUAAGAGGCUGUGGCUUAACCAUGGAAUUGCCAUUGAUACUGCAGAGCUUGAAUGAGGUUGAGGUUGGCGGAAUGUGACAUGUAGCGGUGAAAUGCUUAGAUAUGUCAUGGAACACCGAUUGCGAAGGCAGCUGACUGGACCUAUAUUGACGCUGAGGCACGAAAGCGUGGGGAGCGAACAGGAUUAGAUACCCUAGUAGUC
rnacentral:rRNA from 1 species